UCAAUUCACUUGCUUUAUUUAUUUUCCCCCCCUGGACCAUGGGUUGGUCCUCAGUUACACAACCAUGUUAACGAGUUGUUUCUAGGAUAAUCCUCAUUUAUACAACCAUGUAUUCAAGUGGCUCCUCCUCAUGUUUGGUUUUAUUUGUGGAAUGGAAAUCAAAGGGGGUACGAGGUCUGUAGUUUAGCAAAGACAUUCAGGUAUCCUAACCUUGGAAGUAGAACUACCUGUUCUAUAUUCAGUAAACAAACGGGUAAGCCAGACCUUUAUAUAUAUUUUCCAAUCCAUUGUAUCUCUCCAUGACUUCCAUUUCCACUUGCUCUUUUCAGAUCCAAGCUUGCACCCAAUAACCUUCACUCUUUCCCGUUAUGUUCUGGAUUCUAGCGUGUGCGAAGUCACGUGACUGCUCGUCGGCGGCCCAAUAAAUACAUGUAAAGAGUGCAAGAAGGUAAGGGAAUAUAACAUAUGGAGGAGUAUGACUUCUGUUCGGGGAUGAGGAAGAGACGAUCCUGAGCUCCUUCACGAAGAAGGUCGAGAUAUAGCAGCAGCAGCAGCAGCAGGAGGAGGAGGAAGAGGAGGGUUGAUGGCUCUCGGUGCGAAGGCGGUGCUUCUGCUGGUAGUGCUUGCAGUAGUUCUUCUGUUCCUGCCACUUGUGCUGCCUCCUUUGCCACCACCGCCACCUCUGCUCCUCUUGAUCCCUGUUGCGAUGUUGCUUCUCCUUGUCUUCCUUGCUCUCCUUCCAUCCCACGAUGUAUCGGCAUCUUCUAGCAUCCCUCCUCAUCAAUGAAUCAACCAUCCAUCCAAAAACUCCCACGCAUAGUUUCGUUCGUACCCACAGGUUGUCAACUGUAUUCCGGAGCAUAGAAGAAAGAGAAGAAAGAAGUAGAGUAAAUCCUUGAUGGUGAGCUACCUCUCAUACGUUUUACCUUCCGGAGGAGCAUAGAAGAAAGAAGAAACAAGUAGGUUGUCGACUUUAUUCCGGAGCAUAGAAGAAAGAGAAGAAAAAAAGUAGAGAAGAAAGAAGUAGAGAAAAUCCUUGAUGGUAAGCUUCCAUCAUCUUGCCUUCUUUUCUCAUAUCAUUGAAUAUGAAUACAACAAAAAAGCAGCAGGCUGCUGGCUUCCAGAAAUCUUCUGCUCUACCCGGUGCUAAAUAUAAAAUUUGCCUUCCCAACAUAGGAAGAUGUGAUGACCGGGGCAGGCUUUCGUUUAGUCCCUCAUCGCACUAGGUAGAUCUUGGAUAUUUAUAUAAGGCUAAAGAACCUAGAUGACACUUUUCCGACUAGCAUUUUUGGAAGAGGUUCCGAUUGUAAUACCUAUAUAUCCUUGGGGCAGUGAUGGUGGUUGCGUUUGAGUAGGACUUGAAGGUGGAGUCUAGGAGUCGGGGAGGAGGUCAGCCAUUGGUACUGCCACCCUCGGCAAAGCCUGCAGGCAGCGAUGAGGCUAGUCUGGUAUAUGGCAAUGGCAGCAUGAAGGCAUAGAUGGAGAGAGGGGAGCUGCACCAAAUCAUCAUCUAAUUUCAGUUACUGUAGUUUUCCAACUUACAAUGUAUUUAGUCCAAAGGCUAUGGGGAAAGAAAAGAGAAAUUACAAGCAGCAGUUUUGCUUUCGUCACUUGUAUUUAGGUUGCUUACAUUUUCGUUCAGGUACUUGUGCGUGUAACACCUAAAAAAAAAAGAGUAUGAU
rnacentral:lncRNA from 1 species